GUGAGUUGAACAGGAAAGUGAGAACAAAGGCGUUGUUGUAGCCAUUUUGGCCAUGCUACAACGAUGCAGACAGCUCUCUUUGUCACUCCUACAACGUGCUUGUUCAAACAACACAUUUUCUUUCAGGUUUUGUGCUUUAGGCAGAGUGACAUGAUGCAGGAUGGAGUUGCGAAGAGUUCCAGGACAUGGUCAAAGAUGGCUGGAACAGUCGGAUGGAUUUGCAAUCAUGCAAUAAAGGCCCACAUGAGACGCCAUGGUCAAAUGGUUGGAGAUCGUUGAGAGUUUGCAGCUAUUGAUGAAAGUUGUUGUAAUAAUAGCAAGUAUCACCACAGAAGGGCCGGUGCAACAUGGCGACGGAAAAAGUGGGUAUUAAGAAUAUUAGGAGUAGGUGACCGCCAGAAACAUCCUGUCUUGUGGCUGGUGUGGUUAAACAAGUGCGUCCGGGAACCACCGUCAUCAGUGACCAAUGGGGCACUUACAGGAGUGCAUUGACUGCGACAGGCUACAGGCACUUCACAGUGAACCACUGUCAGUAGUUUGCGGAUCCAAACACCUUGCGCGCCUCCCAGUAUGUCAACCCCAGCUUUCUCUGUGGACCAUGCAACUUGGACUU